rnacentral:rRNA from 1 species
AAAUUGAAGAGUUUGAUCAUGGCUCAGAUUGAACGCUGGCGGCAGGCCUAACACAUGCAAGUCGAACGGUAACAGGAAGCAGCUUGCUGCUUCGCUGACGAGUGGCGGACGGGUGAGUAAUGUCUGGGAAACUGCCUGAUGGAGGGGGAUAACUACUGGAAACGGUGGCUAAUACCGCAUAACGUCGCAAGACCAAAGAGGGGGACCUUCGGGCCUCUUGCCAUCAGAUGUGCCCAGAUGGGAUUAGCUAGUUGGUGAGGUAACGGCUCACCAAGGCGACGAUCCCUAGCUGGUCUGAGAGGAUGACCAGCCACACUGGAACUGAGACACGGUCCAGACUCCUACGGGAGGCAGCAGUGGGGAAUAUUGCACAAUGGGCGCAAGCCUGAUGCAGCCAUGCCGCGUGUAUGAAGAAGGCCUUCGGGUUGUAAAGUACUUUCAGCGGGGAGGAAGGUGUUGUGGUUA